rnacentral:rRNA from 1 species
UACGUAGGGGGCAAGCGUUGUCCGGAUUUACUGGGCGUAAAGAGCGCGUAGGCGGAAGGUGAAGCGUGGCCUGAAAGCCCCCGGCUCAACCGGGGAAGGCGGCUGCGAACUGGCCUUCUUGAGGGCGAUAGAGGGGGGCGGAAUUCCUGGUGUAGUCGGUGAAAUGCGUAGAGAUCAGGAGGAACACCCGUGGCGAAGGCGGCCCCCUGGGUCGGCCCUGACGCUGAGGCGCGAAGGCCAGGGGAGCAAACGGG